UACGUAGGGUGCGAGCGUUAAUCGGAAUUACUGGGCGUAAAGCGUGCGUAGGCGGUUUUGUAAGUUUGGUGUGAAAUCUCCCGGCUCAACUGGGAGGGUGCGCCGAAAACUGCAAGGCUGGAGUGUGGGAGAGGUAGGCGGAAUUCCUGGUGUAGCGGUGAAAUGUGUAGAUAUCAGGAGGAACACCUGUGGUGUAGACGGCUUACUGGACCAUGACUGACGCUGAGGCACGAAAGCGUGGGGAGCAAACAGG
rnacentral:rRNA from 1 species